AUUGAACGCUGGCGGCAGGCCCAACACAUGCUAGUCGAACGCGUGGCGGACGGGUGAGUAAUGUCUGGGAAACUGCCUGAUGGAGGGGGGUAACUACUGGAAACGGUAGCUAAUACCGCAUACCAUCGGAUGUGACCAGAGGGGAUUAGCUAGUAGGUGGGGUAACGGCUGACCUAGGCGACGAUCCCUAGCUGGGCUGAGAGGAUGACCAUCCACAGUGGAACUCGGACUGGGUUCAGACUCCUACGGUAGGUGGCAGUGGGGAAUAGUGCACAAUGUGCGAAAGCCUGAUGCAGCCAUGCGGCGGGUAUGAAGCAGGCCGUCGGGUUGUAAAGGACUUUCAGCGUGGAGGCGUUGCCCGCAUAAGAAGCACCGGCUAACUUCGUGCCAGCCGCCGCGGUAAUUC
rnacentral:rRNA from 1 species